rnacentral:rRNA from 1 species
GGCCUUGCACUAUUGGAGUGGCCGAUGUCGGAUUAGCUAGUUGGUGGGGUAAAAGCUUACCAAGGCGACGAUCCGUAGCUGGUCUGAGAGGACGAUCAGCCACACUGGAACUGAGACACGGUCCAAACUCCUACGGGAGGCAGCAGUGGGGAAUUUUGGACAAUGGGCGCAAGCCUGAUCCAGCCAUGCCGCGUGAGUGAAGAAGGCCUUCGGGUUGUAAAGCUCUUUCGGUGAAGACGAAACGGUUCAUGCUAAUAACGUGAACUAAUGACGGUACUCACAGAAGAAGCACCGGCUAACUACGUGCCAGCAGCCGCGGUAAUACGUAGGGUGCAGGCGUUAAUCGGAAUUACUGGGCGUAAAGCGUGCGCAGGCGGUUUGCUAAGACAGGUGUGAAAUCCCCGGGCUUAACCUGGGAAUUGCGCUUGUAACUGGCAAGCUAGAGUGUGGCAGAGGGGGGUGGAAUUCCACGUGUAGCAGUGAAAUGCGUAGAUAUGUGGAGGAACACCGAUGGCGAAGGCAGCCCCCUGGGUUAACACUGACGCUCAUGCACGAAAGCGUGGGGAGCAAACAGGAUUAGAUACCCUGGUAGUCCACGCCCUAAACUAUGUCAACUAGUUGUCGGGGAAGAAAUUCCUUGGUAACGAAGCUAACGCGUGAAGUUGACCGCCUGGGGAGUACGGCCGCAAGGUUAAAACUCAAAGGAAUUGACGGGGACCCGCACAAGCGGUGGAUUAUGUGGAUUAAUUCGAUCAACGCGAAAAACCUUACCUACCCUUGACAUGCUAGGAAGCCCGCAGAGAUGUGGGUGUGCCCGAAAGGGAACCUAGACACAGGUGCUGCAUGGCUGUCGUCAGCUCGUGUCGUGAGAUGUUGGGUUAAGUCCCGCAAGGAGCGCAACCCUUGCCAUUAGUUGCUACAUUCAGUUGGGCACUCUAAUGGGACCGCCGGUGACAAACCGGAGGAAGGUGGGGAUGACGUCAAGUCCUCAUGGCCCUUAUGGGUAGGGCUUCACACGUAAUACAAUGGUCGGUACAGAGGGCUGCCAACCCGCAAGGGGGAGCUAAUCCCAGAAAGCCGAUCGUAGUCCGGAUUGUAGUCUGCAACUCGACUGCAUGAAGCCGGAAUCGCUAGUAAUCGCGGAUCAGCAUGUCGCGGUGAAUACGUUCCCGGGUCUUGUACACACCGCCCGUCACACCAUGGGAGUGGGUUCCACCAGAAGUAGUUAGCCUAACCGCAAGGAGGGCGAUUACCACGGUGAGAUUCAUGACUGGGGUGAAGUCGUAACAAGGUA